rnacentral:rRNA from 1 species
UACAGAGAGUGCAAACGUUGUUCGGAAUUACUGGGCUUAAAGCGCGCGUAGGCGGCAUUGUAAGUGUCAGGUGAAAUCCCACGGCUCACCCGUGGAACUGCCUGGCAUACUGCGAUGCUAGAGUGUGGUAGGGGAGAGCGGAACUCCAGGUGGAGCGGUGAAAUGCGUAGAUAUCUGGAGGAACACCGGUGGCGAAGGCGGCUCUCUGGUCCACAACUGACGCUGAGGUGCGAAAGCUAGGGGAGCAAACGGG